UACGGAGGGUGCAAGCGUUAAUCGGAAUUACUGGGCGUAAAGCGUGCGCAGGCGGUUUGUUAAGUCCGUUGUGAAAUCCCCGAGCUCAACUUGGGAAUUGCAAUGGAUACUGGCAAGCUGGAGUAUGGUAGAGGAAGGUGGAAUUCCCGGUGUAGCAGUGAAAUGCGUAGAGAUCGGGAGGAACACCAGUGGCGAAGGCGGCCUUCUGGACCAGUACUGACGCUCAUGCACGAAAGCGUGGGGAGCAAACAGG
rnacentral:rRNA from 1 species